GUUGGUUGGGAAUUGUGACAAAUCAACCUCUCUCUCCUUCCCCUCCUCCCUCCAGUGGACUGCCUGGACCCUGGCUGUUCAGUCCAUGGUGUGUGUAUCCACGGGGAGUGCCACUGUAGCCCGGGCUGGGGGGGCACCAACUGUGAGAUCCUCAAGACCAUGUGCCCCGACCAGUGCUCCGGCCACGGCACCUACCAGAGCGAAAGCGGCACUUGCACCUGCGACACCAACUGGACCGGCCCCGACUGCUCCGUUGAGGUGUGUGUGGUGGACUGCGGCCCCCACGGCGUGUGUUUCGGGGGCAGCUGUCGUUGCGAGGAGGGCUGGACGGGUACAGUCUGUGACCAGAAGGCCUGCCACCCCAUGUGCACUAAGAACGGAGUCUGCAAGGAGGGCAAGUGUGAGUGCAACCAGGGCUGGACCGGAGAGCACUGCAACAUCGGUAGGUCUACUGCAGAAUACACACGCCUACAGUGGACAUACACAUACACAUGAAUACAUCAUAUGGGUCGACAAUUAAAGACAUCGUUACAAAGAAACACACACGUUUUCUCUCUCUCACACACACCAAUCACACACACUCCUCUACCUCUGAAGCUGUCUGUCCAUCCAUGAUUCCCCCAGCUCUCACACCACGGAGGACUCCAACCUGCGGGUCUAUAUGGCUUUGAACAGCCAGCUGAAGUAGCAUCUGAUCCCAGUCUCCUCUUUCCUCUCAAACCUCUCCAUCCCUCUCUUUACAAGGGCCUGGCCAACUCCCUCCCACUCUGCAGCCUGCUCUUUGUAGUCACUCACGUGACCUGUGUGAAGAAGGCCUGCGGAGUCCCCAUGGGGCGCUGCUGAUCUUUAACCUCCAUCAAAACACUGACAUUUACUGUAGUUAAGGCAGUGUGGAGAAGAUAGAUUGUGUGUGUCCUGUUCCAAGCUCUCGAUCUUAACAAGAGGGUACAGAGCAGCGUUGUAAAUGCCUGGCGUGUUGCUGUUUAGCUUUUAAGCCGGGUGUGAAACAAACACUGAAACAGGCCAACGUCUCCUCUAUACAAUGCAGAGAUACGAGCCCUAAAGAGAACUGAGACAUCAUGUUUGGUUAAUUGUUUCCCUCUCAACCCCUACAUCACUAAACGGCCUUAAUUGUUAUCAAGCAAAUCUUAUUUUGUCGGCUGAUUCCCUGAUAUGAAGUCGAUAGCGGAGCAGAAUGCAUGUUCUCUCCUCACACACACAGAACUCGUGUUCUGUUCUGCCUCGAUCUCUGGACGUAUUUAUUUUUGAUCUGGUUCAUUAUUCAAACAAAUAAUCAAAUGAAUUAGAGUUGGUGUCCCCCACUCCCCCACUCAUUUAGCGGUCGAGUUAGAGUUGGUGUCCCCCACUCAUUUAGCGGUCGAGUUAGAGUUGGUGUCCCCCACUCAUUUAGCGGUCGAGUUAGAGUUGUUGUCCCCA
rnacentral:lncRNA from 1 species